AACAAGUUGCAGCAGGCUUGCUGCAAGUUGACAUUUGCAGACUUGAUGCAAGUUGACGAUACAAGUUGCAUCAAGUCUGCAAAUAUCAACAUGCAGCAAGCCUGAUAGAACAACUUGCA